UACGGAGGGUGCAAGCGUUAUCCGGGUUCACUGGGUUUAAAGGGAGCGUAGGUGGCUUUGUAAGUCAGUGGUGAAAUAUUGCGGCUCAACCGCAAAACUGCCAUUGAUACUGCUUAGCUUGAAUCACGUCGAGGUGGAUGGAAUAAUACAUGUAGCGGUGAAAUGCUUAGAUAUGUAUUAGAACACCGAUUGCGAAGGCAGUUCACUAGGCGUGUAUUGACACUGAGGCUCGAAAGCGUGGGGAUCAAACAGG
rnacentral:rRNA from 1 species